CCUUCCUUUACUCUCUGAGCAGUGUCAUCUACUUCUUCAACUCAGAACAAUGACCCAUUUGACGACGACAGUUCCCAAGGUGCCCUCAUCAACACUCUUCUUCUGACCAAUGCCAAUAUCCCUCAGAGUUCAUUUUCCAUUCCUCACUGCAGACUUUGACCCAUGGUGCUCUCAGAUCUCAGACGACAGAAGUAUCUUAGAGACCAGAAGCUAACAGGAAGGUGUCCGUGGAAAAAGAGGAAGAAAAGAAGAAAGGAAGGAAUGAACAAAGGAAGAAAGGAAAACUGGUGAACUCUGUGAAAAGUCUCCUGGUGCUGAAAGCACAGCCUAAGCGAUCCGAAGCUCAUAGCCGCACUUCCAAAUCAGGUUUAUGGAUGGCUCUUCCAAAACCACAGAAAACUACAACCAAGACAGGCGCCUGGUUUGGAGAGUUCAAUUUACUUAACAUGUAGGUUUGGAGGCAACAUUAAUCAGUACCAGAUUACACACUUAAUGCUUGUCACCCUCUCCUCAACAAUUGGCACUAACCCCAGACUCUAUUUGAUGUUUAGUUUCAACUAAUUAAGCGUUCCCAUCUUAUGAUUCCUUCCUGCAGCUCCGAUGUCAUUGCUCACCUUCAGAGAAGUGUGCUGUGGCCCUUUCGCUUACUCGUCACUUUCAGAGCUGGGAACAUACGUAGUUUAGAGGGUCUAGGUAUAUUACUCACGCAAAUGAGGUUUUUUGGUGACAACAAUGGAUCACCCAGAGAGAACAUUCAAAAACAUGCUCUCUGUAAAUUAACUAUGGCAUAGAUCCUUUUUUGGUCAUUAGUUUGACUUGGGGUCCUCCUAUAGAAUUUCAAUUGAUGUGAAUUAGUUGGACUUCCCAUUAGGUGAGAGGCAUCUGGAAGAGACCGCAUGUCUGGCAUAGAGGAAAGAAUGUCCCUUAUCUUCAUGGUCCUAAAUCUUCAUGAUCCUAAACUGUACUUCUAUAAACUGGAAUUUAUAAUCCAUGCUUUACUAACCUUGUAGGCAUGUUGACUUUUUGUUUUAUUGCCUUCUUACUGAACACCGCAUAAGUGCAAGCCCAUGAUUCUGAGGCCUGAAAGAAAAGAGACCGGGAUCCUGUAGAACCUGGAAGUCACACGAUUAAUAAAUUAAAGAAAGAUAAUGACAAGGGGAUUAGUAGCUAGUAACACAGGCUCAGCUCCUGCGUCAUCAUGGAGAUGUCAGGCUGUUGGCAGGCUGGCUGACAGCAAUGUACCCUGAUCAAUGUCAGGAGACAGCCCAGGUGCUGAGUCUCUUCUAAGCAGGCUGAUCACAUAAUGCAUUGUCCAAACUGGGACACUUCUGAGAGCAAAAGCAGGCACUAUUAAUAAUUAUGCCUGGACGAUAGGUGUAAACCAGAGCUGUCCUGGGUAAACCAGGAUAGGUGGUCAUCCUACCUGUAAGUUGAGGAAAUUGUUGGAGAUACUCUCCCUUCAUAUCUGUGGACUUCUCUAUGUAGAGUUGGUAGAGAUGUUAGAAAAUCCGUAUUAGACAGACCAGAAUGUCCUGGAGAAAUGAGAGGAAUGAAACCAACAGGUCUUAAACUCCUCAGCCUUAGGCCUGACGCCUUGCAAAAUACCAACCAAUUCAAGUUUCCUGGGAACCCCACAAAGCCUCAUAAAUGCAUGAAGCUCAGGUCCUAAAAGUCUCCAGUUCUUGUGCUUAAGUUACUUCGAUGAGCAAAAUAUAAAUUAACCACAAUGGAGCCUCCCUCCAAAGGCUCAGUUCACAUGAAGUUCCAGAUUUACAACUUUUUCCCGGUGACAAGGACAGAGCUGCCACUGGUAACAGCUGGCUCUACAAUGCAGGGCUGAGAGUCCAGCUUCAAGGCUUGAGAACCCCACCAGGCAUCACUGCCCUUUUAAAGCAGUUCUGAGUUAUUCACAAGGUGCUUCUUUCAGGCUAUGUCUGUACGGGCAGUCAUAGAGGAUCUCUCAUUACAACCAACUCUCCUAACACACAGUGUUCUUCCAGAAACCUCAGGAAUAUGUGCCAGACACUGAUAUGAAUUCACCAAAUCUAAAUAUGGUUUCCUUUUCCUCCUGGGAACUUCAUUUCCCAGUCUUGCUUACAGUCACAUGGGGCCAUGUGAUUCUUCUGGCCAAUGGAAUGUUAUCAAGAGUCAUUAAUGCAGAGCCGGCCCAGUGGCUCAAGUGGUUGGAGCUCCGUG